rnacentral:tRNA from 1 species
GGUCGACUGGCCCAUGCGGUGGGCCUACGAGGGUGUCGUCUUCGAGCCCUCCGGCGUCGACCACUCCUCCCCGGGUUCCAGUUUCCAGGUCGGCGGCCA